GAUGUGUGGUGUCAUGGGUAUGGCAUAUAGGUGAUUUGUAGGAGUACAUUUUAUUGAGCGUGAUCACUUUCAGAGUACUCUGCGGUCAAGAGUUACUCUGAUGGGAUAUAGGUAUAUGUGUCCCUCUGACCUGAGGCUACCUUAGUGACUUGCAAGCAACUCACUGUGCUUUGAUGUCGGACUAUCUGAAUUUUUAAUUUGAUGAUGGAAGAUUUUUGGGUACAG
rnacentral:lncRNA from 1 species